rnacentral:rRNA from 1 species
UACGGAGGGUGCGAGCGUUGUCCGGAAUCAUUGGGCGUAAAGGGCGCGUAGGUGGCGGGACAAGCGUGCGGUGAAAGCCUGGGGCUCAACCCCGGGUCGGCCGUGCGAACUGUUUUGCUUGAGCACUGUAGAGGCAGGCGGAAUUCCGGGUGUAGCGGUGGAAUGCGUAGAGAUCCGGAAGAACACCGGUGGCGAAGGCGGCUCUCUGGACCGCAACUGACGCUGAGACGCGAAAGCGUGGGGAGCAAACAGG